GGUGAGUGGCGAACGGGUGAGUAACACGUGAGUAACCUGCCCCUGAUUUCGGGAUAAGCCUGGGAAACUGGGUCUAAUACCGGAUACGACCACCUGACGCAUGUCGGGUGGUGGAAAGUUUUUCGAUCGGGGAUGGGCUCGCGGCCUAUCAGCUUGUUGGUGGGGUAAUGGCCCACCAAGGCGACGACGGGUAGCCGGCCUGAGAGGGCGACCGGCCACACUGGGACUGAGACACGGCCCAGACUCCUACGGGAGGCAGCAGUGGGGAAUAUUGCACAAUGGGGGAAACCCUGAUGCAGCGACGCAGCGUGCGGGAUGACGGCCUUCGGGUUGUAAACCGCUUUCAGCAGGGAAGAAGCGAAAGUGACGGUACCUGCAGAAAAAGUACCGGCUAACUACGUGCCAGCAGCCGCGGUAAUACGUAGGGUACGAGCGUUGUCCGGAAUUAUUGGGCGUAAAGAGCUCGUAGGUGGUUGGUCACGUCUGCUGUGGAAACGCAACGCUUAACGUUGCGCGUGCAGUGGGUACGGGCUGACUAUAGUGCAGUAGGGGAGUCUGGAAUUCCUGGGGUAGCGGUGAAAUGCGCAGAUAUCAGGAGGAACACCGGUGGCGAAGGCGGGACUCUGGGCUGUAACUGACACUGAGGAGCGAAAGCAUGGGGAGCGAACAGGAUUAUAUACCCUGGGAGUCCAUGCCGUAA
rnacentral:rRNA from 1 species